UGAUGAUGAUGAUGAUGAUGAUGAUGAUGAUGAUGAUGAUGAUCGUUAUAAUUCUAUUUACAGGUAAAACUUAACAUUAAAACGUUGUCGUCGCCCCAUUAUCAUCAUCAUCAUUAUCAUCAGUA
rnacentral:pre_miRNA from 1 species